AUAAUUGUUUCCUACACUAUUAUUUAUAACUCCCCACAAAUAAGACUUUUCAAUGUUCUUUUAGUUUUUUUUUUUUAAUGCUGAGGUAAGUGAGGUUCAGUGGCGGAUCCAGCGGGGGUUCAAGGGGUUCAAUUGAACCCCGUUAGAUCCGGAAAAAAAAAUAGGAAUCUUAUUUAAAAAAAAUAUAUAGAAAACCUAUAAAUAAAAUAUUUGAAACAAAUAAAUACUAUGUUAGGCGCGAGCUCAGUUGGUUUAGUAACUCUCAAAUUGGACAACAGACACGGGUUCUCCUUCUAGGACGCGCAAUUUUACAUUUUUUUUCUUUUUUCUUUUUUCUUUUCUCCCUUUUUUUCCCUGUAACUUUCGUUCUUUGUUCCCUUUCUUUUGUCAAUUCUCACAAAGACACAAACUGCUAAAACCCUUACUAUCUUUCUCCAUUUUUUCUCACUUCUCUGGCCGCCGCACCGAGACACGCCUGUCGCCACUGCUCACAGACGAGGCCAUGAAAGCGACGCCAACGAUCUGCUGCUAGCCUGCGUCGAACUCGAGUGUACUAGUGUGUGACCCUGAAAAGUUUGGAGCAUUUUGUAAUUUUUAUCAAAAAAAAAUGUAUUGUAUCUUGACAUUUAAUUGAAGUUAUGUAUUGUUGUAUCGGAUUAUUUUA